CUCACAUUCUAGGUUUCUCUCAUUCUCUUCCUUCUCUCUCUGCCGCCUCUUUACUGAUAUCAAUCUCCCCUCUAUAAUUCUAUUGAACUCUCUAUUUCCGGUAACCAGUCACCAUCUCCGAUCGACCACGUUUUUCCGGCGACUGAGCCCCUUUUCGUAUACUAAAUCCAAAACCAUAAGCACCACAAUAAACCUACAUUCUUCUUUUCAGGUAUGAAAGAUCCGAAAACCUAAACUUACUUGUACAUAUUCAAGUUUGUUAACCCACAAAUCGAACUGCUGAUGAUUAUUGGUAUGUCUUCAAUGCCACCCAGUUUGGGGAAACGUUUCAUUGUGUUGUGGUUAAGAUGGGUUUUGAUUCUAAUGUGGUUUUGGAAACUGGGUUGUUUGUUUUUUUAUGCGAUGGUUGGGGAUUUAAGUUGUGCACGGAAGAUGUUCGAUGAAAUGUCUGAAAGAGAUGUUGUAUAUAAAUGAUAUAACCCGAUUCAAAGGUAACUUCCCAACUUCAGACGCUUCUAGGGUUUCUUCCAGAAAUCCCGUUCCUCACCUCUGCCUCCUCAUCUACACCCUCUCAUCUAUCACUCUUCCGCCACCUCCGUCAGCCACGGCUUCCGCCGACCACCGCCGUUCCAUUCCCCUCUGUUUUAAGAUCACCCUGUCUUCCUCGCAUAUUGAAAAAUCUCUAUUACUGGCAUCGUUUUACCGGACGGUUUUCUCGGUUCAUUGCCGCGGAAGGAGGUGGAGCCACAUGUCGCGAAUGAAGUUGUUACUCCAAGCUUUAGGAACUAUUGGAAGGCUGGUGAUUUUGAUGAGUUUUUGGAUGGUGAUUGGGAUACAAGUCCGGAUGGUGGGAAUUGCCAGUGAGAACGACGACGAAGACCGAUGGCUGGUGUUUUCCGGCCAUUGAUGUAAAAUCUGAAAAGGAACAAAAUGGCACUUUAGUUCCAACAAGAUUGAAGAGAUAUUAGCAGAACUGUUUCAGUGGUGGUGAGAAUUCGAAGUCUAAUCAUCAGAUUAUGGGACCACUUUGGUUUAUAUAUGCAGAGGCAGAAUUGAAAGUUAUUGAAAGAGAAGCCUUGAAACAAAAUGAUUGGGGAUGACGACUAUCCUACAGGUGGAUCACUAUGCUCAAAAGAUUCGCCCCGUUUUCUUUCCAUUUACUGUUCUCCUUGCAAACGUCAAAGAAGCAGUGAUUCAUGAUUUCUAUAUCUUGAAGAAGAAAAGAGUCCAUCUAUUGAAGUCCUUCCCGAUGAGAUUCUUUAUGAAAUCUUUAGGCGUUUGCCUGGUGGUCAAGCUCGAAGUGCAGAGAUGUGUGUCUCUAGCUGUUGACUCACUGUUCUGAGUAAUGUUAGAAACAGAGAUUGUUCAUGAACCAUCUAAUGACUCUGAAAUGGUUCAAGAAAAUGAUGCAUUUCUUACUAUAUGCUUAGAAGGAAAGAAAGCAACAAAUAUCUAUUUUUGACACGAUAAGGGAUAGAUAAAGAAUGAUUGCGGUUCAAGCAGUGUCUUCCAAAUGAGAUGGCUCACUAAGCUGCAGGCUGUUGGGAUGCUGAAAUCGAGUCUUCUUAUGGAGUAAUGGUUGGACCGAGUGUGUUGGGAUUGCUGACAUAUCCACAUAUGACCUGCGUGCACCCACUGAAAAAAGUGGUGUAGCUCUUGUAGCCCAAGAGAUAUUUUGCAGAGUUAAAAGAAGUGGAUGAACUGGUUAUUAAACAUGUUAAGAAGGAACUUCGGCUUGCAUUGAAGGGUAGUCAAAAGAUGGUGGGGUUGAAGCACCGGAGGUUGAUUGGCUUAACAAGUUCAUCGAGUACAUGUGGCCUUGACAAGGCAAUAUGCAAGACUGCAAAGGAGAUUGCAAAGCCCAUUAUUGCUGAACAAAUUCCAAAGUUCAAAAUUGAUUCGGUUCAGUUUGAGCAUCUUACCUUAUGGUCGUUGCCUCCUACUUUUCAAGGUUACAUGGUUAAGAACUAAAAACCAAAACAGCUGGCCCAACCAUAACCUGUUCAUACGGUCUAUGUGUUGGUAUUAAGACUGGUCUGGUUGGUCCAACAAAAUAAAACUGGUCUAAACCAAGUGCUUGAGGCAUAGCAAGGAACCGAAACAAAUCAGUCGACCACAAGUGCCUUUCUCAUGCAGAUCCAACAAGUACAUUUCUGGCUCACUAAUGAAAAAGGGGACAAAGGAUUAUGGCAGUGUCGUGGAGUGUGUCACAGUGGAUGGCGAUACGGUGUGGAUGGCGAUUAGUGAUUGGGUUAUUUCUUGCUUAACUGUUACUGAUGAGAUCGCUGGUUCGAUUCUGACCGGUGAUAUCGGUCCAUUUCAUGUCACUUAGGUUCAAAUUUGCUGCCCGUUUUAAUUUUGUGCAGGUUCAAGUUCUGAACAUUGUGCAACAUGAUCUUGUGCAUAUAUGAAUUGGAGAAGAUGUAUGACAUAUGCAGUUUCAGUACAUUGGUUGCAGUUUCAAUCCGAAUUGGCCCAUUUUCACAUAAUAGCCACAUAGGAUUUAAAUCAUCUCCACGUUUAGAUAGAAGAUUCGUACUUUACCACCACACCAAGGGACAAGGUAGUUGGUAGCUUACGGGUGCUGUAUCUUUUUGUUGGACAAUCACCCAACAGAAGCAGGUAGAUUUCGUAGGGAAUCCAAACCGAGGUCCUAAACAAUGCCUUUGUCUCAUUGUAGUUUACUAAUUUAUUAUUACUUCAACGGUUAUUUAAUUCAAACGAUUACUUCAAUAAAUUAAACUUAUUCAUUUGUGUUUUA